GAAGAAAUUUGCCACCUGAAGAUACUGAUCUGAAAACCUCCUUUUGAACUUUUCACAAGCCUGUGUGCUUCAAAGGGCCUCUGCUUCAUGUCGUGGGGUAAAAAAACCUGACAGCACUCUCAACAGCAGACUAGCUGAGCUUUGGGAAUAACUUUACAAAGGAAGUACUCUGACAUCUACAUUGCCAACUUGGAAUGGGGAUGCUGUUUAAAUUUGUCAAACCUUGCCGCAUUAGUAACUUCAAAGGACACCAGCCACAGAUUUCUUGCUGAAAGUGCCCAUGCCCGUGAGGACUUUUUUUUUUUUUAAAUAAAACA
rnacentral:lncRNA from 1 species